AUGGCUGUCGUCAGCUCGUGUCGUGAGAUGUUGGGUUAAGUCCCGCAACGAGCGCAACCCACGUCUUUAGUUGCCAGCAUUCAGUUGGGCACUCUAGAGAGACCGCCGGUGAUAAACCGGAGGAAGGUGUGGAUGACGUCAAGUCAUCAUGCCCCUUACAUCCUGGGCUACACACGUACCACAAUGCUACGGACAAAGGGCAGCAAACUCGCGAGAGCUAGCAAAUCCCAUAAACCGUGGCUCAGUUCAGAUCGUAGGCUGCAACUCGCCUACGUGAAGGAGGAAUCGCUAGUAAUCGCAGGUCAGCAUACUGCGGUGAAUACGUUCCCGGGCCUUGUACACACCGCCCGUCACACCAUGGAAGUUGGCCAUGCCCGAAGUCGUUACUCCAACCCGCAAGGGAGGAGGACGCCGAAGGUGGGGCUGAUGACUGGGGUGAAGUCGUAACAAGGUAGCCGUACCGGAAGGUGCGGCUGGAUCACCUCCUAAC
rnacentral:rRNA from 1 species